rnacentral:misc_RNA from 1 species
AAAAGUUGUGGAAAUCGUGGUGACCUCUAUUGGUGAGCCGCGAUUCUCUCCUUUUUGUGAAAUGUUCUGAGGGAUUGCUCCAGAUCUCUCGACCUUUUAUUUUACAUAUUUGAUUGACUGUUGUUUAACAAAUUGAAAGUUUUGGAUCAGAAAUGAUUCAAGACGAUAAAAUUUCAAAA